UACAGAGGUCUCAAGCGUUGUUCGGAUUCAUUGGGCGUAAAGGGUGCGUAGGCGGCGAGCUAAGUUUGGUGUGAAAUCCUGGGGCUUAACCUCAGAAUUGCACUGAAUACUGGUUUGCUAGAGGACUGGAGAGGAGAUUGGAAUUCACGGUGUAGCAGUGAAAUGCGUAGAUAUCGUGAGGAAGACCAGUGGCGAAAGCGAAUCUCUGGACAGAUCCUGACGCUGAUGCACGAAGGCUAGGGGAGCAAACGGG
rnacentral:rRNA from 1 species